AGAAAUUGCACAUCAAAUUAUUGAACAACAGAUGGGAGAGGAUAGAAUUUUGUGGCAAUAGAAUCGGUAGUUUAAAAGAUUGUUACAGAGCAGCAAACUGGGCAGAAAAUCCAGAUUGUGACAGCACUUGAUCAUAAUACCCAAGGCAAGCAGUUCAUUCUGACAAAUCACGACGGCUCUACUCCAAGCAAAGUCAUUCUGGCCAGGCAAGAUUCCACUCCGGGAAAAGUUUUCCUUACAACUCCAGAUGCAGCAGGUGUCAACCAGUUAUUUUUUACCACUCCUGAUCUGUCUGCACAACACCUGCAGGACGUCAUUAUGGAGCAGUAACUUGUGAAGGCUGCAAAGGAUUUUUUAAAAGAAGCAUCCGAAAAAAUUU
rnacentral:lncRNA from 1 species